AACGCACAUUGCGCCCUUUGGUAUUCCGAAGGGCAUGCCUGCUCGAGCGUCAUUUAAACUCUCAAGCCCAGCUUGGUCUUGGGCGCGGUCGCGCGCGACCCGCCCGCAACUCGUUUGGCGGCACCGUCCGGCUCCUGGCGUAACAGUUUUCCUCGCCUCGAAGCUCCGGCGCGGUGCCCGGCCACGGAACAUCUGACCUAAAGUUUGACCUCGGAUCAGGUAGGGAUACCCGCUGAACUUAA
rnacentral:misc_RNA from 1 species